GACGAACGCUGGCGGCGUGCCUAAUACAUGCAAGUCGAACGAGAGCGACCGGUGCUUGCACUGGUCAAUCUAGUGGCGAACGGGUGAGUAACACGUGGGUAACCUGCCCAUCAGAGGGGGAUAACAUCCGGAAACGGAUGCUAAAACCGCAUAGGUCUUCGAACCGCAUGGUUUGAAGAGGAAAAGAGGCGCAAGCUUCUGCUGAUGGAUGGACCCGCGGUGCAUUAGCUAGUUGGUGAGGUAACGACUCACCAAGGCCGUGAUGCAUAGCCGACCUGAGAGGGUGAUCGGCCACAUUGGGACUGAGACACGGCCCAAACUCCUACGGGAGGCAGCAGUAGGGAAUCUUCCGCAAUGGACGCAAGUCUGACGGAGCAACGCCGCGUGAGUGAAGAAGGUUUUCGGAUCGUAAAACUCUGUUGUUAGAGAAGAACAAGUGCUAGAGUAACUGUUAGCGACUUGACGGUAUCUAACCAGAAAGCCACGGCUAACUACGUG
rnacentral:rRNA from 1 species